GUAAGUCGUAACAAGGUAGAGUUACCUGCUNGUAAGAUAGGGAUAACUCCGGGAAACCGGAGCUAAUACCGGAUAGUUCCUUGAACCGCAUGGUUCAAGGAUGAAAGACGGUUUCGGCUGUCACUUACAGAUGGACCCGCGGCGCAUUAGCUAGUUGGUGGGGUAAUGGCUCACCAAGGCGACGAUGCGUAGCCGACCUGAGAGGGUGAUCGGCCACACUGGGACUGAGACACGGCCCAGACUCCUACGGGAGGCAGCAGUAGGGAAUCUUCCGCAAUGGACGAAAGUCUGACGGAGCAACGCCGCGUGAGUGAUGAAGGUUUUCGGAUCGUAAAGCUCUGUUGUUAGGGAAGAACAAGUGCGAGAGUAACUGCUCGCACCUUGACGGUACCUAACCAGAAAGCCACGGCUAACUACGUGCCAGCAGCCGCGGUAAUACGUAGGUGGCAAGCGUUGUCCGGAAUUAUUGGGCGUAAAGGGCUCGCAGGCGGUUUCUUAAGUCUGAUGUGAAAGCCCCCGGCUCAACCGGGGAGGGUCAUUGGAAACUGGGAAACUUGAGUGCAGAAGAGGAGAGUGGAAUUCCACGUGUAGCGGUGAAAUGCGUAGAGAUGUGGAGGAACACCAGUGGCGAAGGCGACUCUCUGGUCUGUAACUGACGCUGAGGAGCGAAAGCGUGGGGAGCGAACAGGAUUAGAUACCCUGGUAGUCCACGCCGUAAACGAUGAGUGCUAAGUGUUAGGGGGUUUCCGCCCCUUAGUGCUGCAGCUAACGCAUUAAGCACUCCGCCUGGGGAGUACGGUCGCAAGACUGAAACUCAAAGGAAUUGACGGGGGCCCGCACAAGCGGUGGAGCAUGUGGUUUAAUUCGAAGCAACGCGAAGAACCUUACCAGGUCUUGACAUCCUCUGACAACCCUAGAGAUAGGGCUUUCCCUUCGGGGACAGAGUGACAGGUGGUGCAUGGUUGUCGUCAGCUCGUGUCGUGAGAUGUUGGGUUAAGUCCCGCAACGAGCGCAACCCUUGAUCUUAGUUGCCAGCAUUCAGUUGGGCACUCUAAGGUGACUGCCGGUGACAAACCGGAGGAAGGUGGGGAUGACGUCAAAUCAUCAUGCCCCUUAUGACCUGGGCUACACACGUGCUACAAUGGACAGAACAAAGGGCUGCAAGACCGCAAGGUUUAGCCAAUCCCAUAAAUCUGUUCUCAGUUCGGAUCGCAGUCUGCAA
rnacentral:rRNA from 1 species